UACGGGGGGGGCAAGCGUUGUUCGGAAUUACUGGGCGUAAAGGGCUCGUAGGCGGCCAACUAAGUCGGAUGUGAAAUCCCCAGGCUUAACCUGGGAACCGCAUCCGAUACUGGAUGGCUUGAAUCCGGGAGAGGGAUGCAGAAUUCCAGGUGUAGCGGUGAAAUGCGUAGAUAUCUGGAGGAAUACCGGUGGCGAAGGCGGCAUCCUGGACCGGCAUUGACGCUGAGUGAGCGAAAGCCAGGGGAGCAAACGGG
rnacentral:rRNA from 1 species